rnacentral:rRNA from 1 species
AACGAACGCUGGCGGCAGGCUUAACACAUGCAAGUCGAACGCGUGUAGCAAUACACGAGUGGCGCACGGGUGAGUAACGCGUGGAUAUCUGCCUUUUGGUUCGGAAUAACCCCGGGAAACUGGGGCUAAUACCGGAUGGUUCCUUCGGGAUAAAGAUUUAUCGCCAAAAGAUGAGUCCGCGUACGAUUAGCUAGUUGGUGAGGUAAUGGCUCACCAAGGCGGCGAUCGUUAGCCGGUCNGAGAGGACGAUCAGCCACACUGGGACUGAGACACGGCCCAGACUCCUACGGGAGGGCAGCAGUGGGGAAUAUUGGACAAUGGGGGCAACCCUGAUCCAGCCAUGCCGCGUGAGUGAUGAAGGCCUUC